rnacentral:pre_miRNA from 1 species
UUUGACUCUUCGUCUUAUUUGAAAUUUUUUAUGAUUAAUAUUUUUAUUAUUACUAAAACAUGAAUAAAAUAUGAAUAAUACUUUACGUGUGACUAUUUUUUUUAAUUUUUUAAUAAAUUUUUCAAAUAAGACGGAUGGUUAAA